UGUGGGUCCUCUCAGGGGGUCUGGGUCGGGGCUUCUCCUGAGGGGCGGAGAGCGGUGCCUCGGCCACGGGGACGGUGUUACAGUGGAGCCUGGUGGGAGAGAUAAGAUAGAAGAUUAAAAGUUGAGUUGUAUGAAAUGCUGAUUGCAGUUUGUUUUGAACACCACAGAAAAAGGUGUGUAAUUCAGCAUGUCCUGGACAUAAGCAGGCAGAAUGAAAGAAUGGAAGAAUUUUCCCUGAACACCACAAUGUUAUGCCUUUUCCUGAUGCCAGUGGCUUUGAGUAGGGGCCCUGAUCUUCCAAACACUUGGAUUUUUCUUAUGAAAACCUGUCAAGCAUACAGUCAGAUAGCCUGCCAACAGCUGUGUGGCAGUCAGUGGGACUUUGCAAAAUUGGGCUCUGCUCAUUCAAAAACUGAAGCAAUCCAGCAUAGCAGUCAGUGAAGUGUAAAACUGAGCAGUAGGUACAGGAAAGGCCAGUGGAAUGCAGACACCACAAGAAAUACAUGGAUUUGCCAUGUGAACUCAAUUUCCAGACACAAGGUGUGAAUCUGUGAUAUUUGGCAGCCUUGUAUUUUCAGCAGAUGGCCAAGCAUCCUACACGUCCCCACGAAAUAAAAUUGUGAACGCUUUUGUUUAAUAUUUUUGUCUGCGCAGAUGCU